GACGAACGCUGGCGGCGUGCUUAACACAUGCAAGUCGAACGGGCUCUGUCUGGCUGUGUGCUGGGUGGGGUUAGUGGCGAACGGGUGAGUAAUACGUGAGUAACCUGCCCUCUUCUUUGGGAUAAGCCUUGGAAACGGGGUCUAAUACUGGAUAUUCCUGUCUGGUCGCAUGGCUGGGUGGGGAAAGUUUUUUUCGGUGGGGGAUGGGCUCGCGGCCUAUCAGCUUGUUGGUGGGGUGAUGGCCUACCAAGGCGUCGACGGGUAGCCGGCCUGAGAGGGUGACCGGCCACACUGGGACUGGGAUACGGCCCAGACUCCUACGGGAGGCAGGAGUGGGGGAUAUUACACAAUGGGCGCAAGCCUGAUGCAGCGACGCCGCGUGGGGGAUGACGGCUUUCGGGUUGUAAACCUCUUUCGUCGGGGGACAAGGCUCUGCUUGGUGGUGGGGUUGAGGGUACCCGGUGAAGAAGCGCCGGCUAACUACGUG
rnacentral:rRNA from 1 species